UAGGGUAUAGCUCAGGGGCAGAGCGUGCGCUUAGCAUGUAGGAGGUCCUGGGUUCAAGUCCCAGUACCUCAU
rnacentral:tRNA from 1 species